CUCUCAUCUGCUGCGUUUUAUUACUAUUAUCGCCGUUCCGGAAAAGUCAUGGAAGACAGCCCGCUGCCAGACCUCAGAGACAUCGAGCUGAAGCUGGGGCGCAAAGUACCCGAGAGUCUAGUGCGCUCUCUCCGUGGGGAGGAGCCGGUUCCCAGGGAAAGGGACAGGGACCCCUGCGGGGGGAGCGGUGGUGGCGGCGGCGGCGGCUGCAGUAGCAGCAGCAGCUACUGCAGUUUCCCUCCCUCCUUGUCGUCCUCCUCUUCGUCCUCCCCAACCUCUGGCUCCCCACGAGGUAGCCACUCUAGCGCCCUGGAGAGGCUAGAAACCAAGCUUCACCUCCUCAGGCAAGAGAUGGUUGGACAAAAAUUUAAGGAAAACCCUUAGGUACAUAAUGGAGAAGCUGGAAAGUGGAAGGCAUCUUGAUGAGUUUGCAAAAUAGAUGAAAAGAUAAAAUGGAAAAGAUGACAAACCAACAGGUCAGGGGAUGCCUGAUACUGUAUCACGAAGAUCAGACAUACGUGUGGAGACAAACAGGUAAAACUGUUUUCCACAGGAAAAUUUCUUGUACAAGGAAUUAAGAAUGUUGCUAACUCUGCAAAUUAAGGACUUAAUCUGAGGGACGAAGUCAUCAAGGAGAUAAGGAAAUUUUAUUCCUAACCAUGUCUUCUGUAAUUUUGCCCAUGGAAUGUUAAUAUAUUCACUUAAUCUAAUAAAUGAAUCUUGUUGAAACAUA
rnacentral:sRNA from 1 species